GAUGAAGAACGCAGCGAAAUGCGAUAAGUAAUGUGAAUUGCAGAAUUCAGUGAAUCAUCGAAUCUUUGAACGCACAUUGCGCCCGCCAGUAUUCUGGCGGGCAUGCCUGUUCGAGCGUCAUUUCAACCAUCAAGCCCCCGGCUUGUGUUGGGGACCUGCGGCUGCCGCAGGCCCUGAAAACCAGUGGCGGGCUCGCUAGUCACUCCGAGCGUAGUAAUACAUCUCGCUUAGGGCGUGCUGCGGGUUCCGGCCGUUAAAAAGCCUUAUUUACCCAAGGUUGACCUCGGAUCAGGUAGGAAGACCCGCUGAACUUAAGCAUAUCAAUAAGCGGAGGA
rnacentral:misc_RNA from 1 species